CCUACGGGCGGCUGCAGUGGGGAAUAUUGGACAAUGGGCGAAAGCCUGAUCCAGCCAUGCCGCGUGUGUGAAGAAGGCCUUCGGGUUGUAAAGCACUUUCAGUGGGGAAGAAAGCCUUGGGGCUAAUACCCUCGAGGAAGGACAUCACCCACAGAAGAAGCACCGGCUAACUCCGUGCCAGCAGCCGCGGUAAUACGGAGGGUGCGAGCGUUAAUCGGAAUUACUGGGCGUAAAGCGCGCGUAGGCGGUCUGAUAAGCCGGUUGUGAAAGCCCCGGGCUCAACCUGGGAACGGCAUCCGGAACUGUCAGGCUAGAGUGCAGGAGAGGAAGGUAGAAUUCCCGGUGUAGCGGUGAAAUGCGUAGAGAUCGGGAGGAAUACCAGAGGCGAAGGCGGCCUUCUGGACUGACACUGACGCUGAGGUGCGAAAGCGUGGGUAGCAAACAGGAUUAGAUACCCCAGUAGUC
rnacentral:rRNA from 1 species